CAGAUAUUCCAGGUCUUCAGAGUCAGUCCAAAGAGUCCACUUUGGCUAAAUAGGACUGAACCAAGAUUUAAACCUGCAAAGUAUCAAGUGGCACAAGGCAUACGUGCAUUCAUUCCUAGGAAGAACAUGCCAAAUAUAGAGUGUUGUCUGGUCUUCGCAUGCUAGCCAGAACAGCAAGUUCUCUUCACUAUACUCUGUUCGAAGAAAUUCUCUGAAAAUAUUCCUACCGGCUGGUGUUU